rnacentral:rRNA from 1 species
UACGUAGGGUGCAAGCGUUGUCCGGAAUUAUUGGGCGUAAAGAGCUCGUAGGCGGUUUGUUGCGUCGGCUGUGAAAUCCCGAGGCUCAACCUCGGGUCUGCAGUCGAUACGAGCAAACUAGAGUGUUGCAGGGGAGACUGGAAUUCCUGGUGUAGCGGUGAAAUGUGCAGAUAUCAGGAGGAACACCGGUGGCGAAGGCGGCUCACUGGACCGGAACUGACGCUGAGGCGCGAAAGCGUGGGGAGCAAACAGG